rnacentral:rRNA from 1 species
UACAGAGGGGGCAAGCGUUGUUCGGAAUUACUGGGCGUAAAGGGCGCGUAGGCGGCCUUCUAAGUCGAACGUGAAAUCCCCGGGCUCAACCCGGGAACUGCGUCCGAUACUGGAAGGCUUGAAUCCGGGAGAGGGAUGUGGAAUUCCAGGUGUAGCGGUGAAAUGCGUAGAUAUCUGGAGGAACACCGGUGGCGAAGGCGACAUCCUGGACCGGUAUUGACGCUGAGGCGCGAAAGCCAGGGGAGCAAACAGG